AUGCAAGUCGAACGAGAAAGGGCCCUUCGGGGCCUGAGUACAGUGGCGGAAGGGUGAGUAAUGCCUAGAUAACCUACCCUCGUGUUGGGGACAACAGCUGGAAACGGCUGCUAAUACCGAAUGAGGCCGAGAUUUCGCAUGGAGUCUCGGUGAAAGGCGGGGAUCCUUCGGGACCUGUCGCAUGAGGAGGGAUCUAGGUCCUAUCAGCUUGUUGGUGGGGUAACGGUCUACCAAGGCUUUGACGGGUAGCCGGCCUGAGAGGGUGAACGGCCACACUGGGACUGAGACACUGCCCAGACUCCUACGGGAGGCUGCAGUCGAGAAUCUUCGGCAAUGGGCGAAAGCCUGACCGAGCGACGCCGCGUGGAGGAUGAAGGCCUUCGGGUUGUAAACUCCUGUCACGGGUUAUGAAAUCCAUCGUUGCUAAUACCAGCGGUGGUUGACAAAGGUCCGAGAGGAAGUCAUGGCUAACUCUGUGCCAGCAGCCGCGGUAAUACAGAGAUGGCAAGCGUUGUUCGGAAUUACUGGGCAUAAAGGGCACGUAGGCGGGUUCAUAAGUCAGGUGUGAAAUCCCUCGGCUCAACCGAGGAACUGCGCCUGAAACUGUGAGUCUUGAGGGCAGGAGGGGAGAGUGGAACUCUUGGUGGAGCGGUGAAAUGCGUAGAUACUAAGAGGAACGCCGGUGGCGAAAGCGACUCUCUGGCCUGCUUCUGACGCUGAGGUGCGAAAGCUAGGGGAGCAAACAGGAUUAGAUACCCUGGUAGUCCUAGCCGUAAACGAUGGACACUAAGUAGAGGGGUUUU
rnacentral:rRNA from 1 species